ACCCCCAACGUGGACUGUUAGCUAAACCACUAUUCUAAACCAGACAGGGUGACUCAUGCCUAUAAUCCCGUCACCUGGAGGCUGCUGCAGAAGAAAGUCCUGCACCAGCCUUGGGCUAUGUAGUAAAACUGUUGGUUCCCCACCCCCUUCCUGUCCUCCCUGACCCAGAAAAAAGGAAGGGAGAAGAAAAGGAAGAGAUGUUGUAAGAAAAGGAAGAUGAGUGGGGAGAGGCCUGGAAAUAUCCUCCGCAAGCAGGUGCCUAUGUGACCCAGCACGUCACUCACAUCCUCAGCUGAUGCCAUCUUCAUGGACAUGCUACACUUCUCAGUUUCUACGGCCAUCUGAGCGAAGGGAAAUUCAAGUUAUUAUUAAAAAGCCAACCUGUCUAAGCAGAGAGAGACCUGCAAGAGAAAACACUGAAACAGCAAGGCAGAACGAGAGGGCUGCAGCGCUCACAACCCGGCACGCCCCUUCAGAAUCUGAGGAUUAUUUCCCACAUGUCAAAACCUGACAGACAAACGCUGCUACUGCGGGACUGAGGCAGAAAGGAAAGGACUUGACAGCACAGCUGAGGGAGAAAAGUGACUGGGACGAAGAGCCCGGGGACAUGGAACACAAACUGCAUCACCAUUUUUCUUGGGAUGGCUUUCCACAGAGAGCUGAAAGGAAAUGAAAAGCAUCCUUCAUGACAACCUCUCGGGGCCUUCUGGAGAGGAAUGAAACAAAAUGUGUGCGCUAAGAUAACUCUAGACUCAUUAGCCUAAACCCUACGCCUGUGUAAUGAAUCUGUGAGCACAUGUGGCUUGUCCAUUCUGCAGAUAGCAUGCAUCCCAGAACAGCUGUGAGGGCAACUCAACACAUCUGCAGAUGACGAGAUCAUAUCGAAAUGUCAAA